rnacentral:rRNA from 1 species
UACGUAGGGGGCAAGCGUUGUCCGGAUUUAUUGGGCGUAAAGAGCUCGUAGGCGGCUCGGUAAGUCGGAUGUGAAACCUCCAGGCUCAACCUGGAGACGCCAUCUGAUACUGCCGUGGCUUGAGUCCGGUAGAGGAGCAGGGAAUUCCUGGUGUAGCGGUGAAAUGCGCAGAUAUCAGAAGGAACACCAGCGGCGAAGGCGCUGCUCUGGGCCGGUACUGACGCUGAGGAGCGAAAGCGUGGGGAGCGAACAGG